rnacentral:sRNA from 1 species
UCUCACUGACGCGAUGGGCUACGAAAGG